ensembl:lncRNA
GCUACAUUCUGGAGUUCAUAAACACCUCUGAUCAUUGGAAGAGAAUAAGACACACUUUCUGGAAAACAAAAAGCACACACAUACAUAUUAUACAUAAAAGUUGCACUAUAACUUCAGAGUUCGUCUUGAAGCUAUCCCUGGACCCAUACUCAUUGACUCUUUUCAAGUCGUGAUUUUAUUUUUUUAAACAAGAUCAGGUUCCAGUUCAGUUUCUGGAGCAGAUAAGAUUCCAUGAGCUGCAUGAAUCUUGGAGAUUCAGAAGAUGGUCUCAGCCGGCAAGAUUGGUCAUGGCCAUUGGCUUUUUCUGAAGCAGCAGUCCAGCGUCAGUCAUCAGCAAAAUGGUGACAAGAGACAGCUUCACUGGCUUUGUGAUCCCUGGAUCUCAUCUAAAUUGACGUUCUUAAAGUCAGCAGUUUCAGUGAUGGCUCCCUGAUUCUCCACCUUCCUGACUGUGGUAGGAGAGCAGUUCCCCUGCUGGGCUCAUUCUGUCGUGUUGUUCUCGAUGCUAUUUCUGGAAGCCUAACUCAGAGCUUUCCAGUCCUUCCAGGAUUGUGCGAACUCCUUGUUUCCU